AGAAUGUUCUCUCCCCAUAGAACUGCUUCUAUGUCAACUCUCAAAUUGGUGCGUUAUCUGAAAAUGCUAUCAGAUUUUGCUAGUUUUUGUUAGAGGUGUAUAUAUAUCUAGUGUAUCAUUGGACCAUACACAACGACUAUGCUUCAAUUCCAAGCAAGUUGUGGUUGACUACAGUGGCGGAGCCACAUAGAGCCGAGGGUGUUCAUCCGAACCCUCUCGGCGGAAAAAAAAUACUGUUUUUACAAGGUUAAAAUUAUUUUUUAUGUAUAUAUAGUAGAUGUUGAAUAUAGGCUUCUUCGUAUGUUUACUUUUUUAUAUUCUGAACCCUCUCGGCGGAAAUCCUGGCUCCGCCAUUGGUUGACUAUAUGGAUCUUCACUGUUCAUGUCACUUCGUUUAAGACCGUAUCAGUUCAAUAUUAUGACAUUAGAGUCUCUAGCAUUAAAAGUUCUCUACAUUUUCAAUCGGCCUUAAUCUUGUACAAGAUUAAAAGACUCCUAUAAAACAUUGGAUAUAAAAUAUGACUAAAACUUAAUUCCAACUAAUUGAUAUCACUUGUAUAGAUCAUGCCCUAUCUUUCGCUAGGUUUUGCAUGAAUUUCAAGAGAUUGUGGUUUAUUCGAGGUAACUUCUUUGCAUGUGUUUUUUGGUCUACCUCUCCCUGCUUAAUACCUUCAUUGGCCGCUGUUUCACAUCCACGGGCCAGUUUUGAAGGUUGAUACAGGACAUAAACAAACCCAUCUCAAGCAACCUCUUCCACUUGCACCUAUUAUGAAUGUGGUCUUUGUCUUAUUAAACUAUACAUAAUACACAUAUUUGAGUACUAUACUGUAAUCUUGUUCCCAUAUUUGAGUACUAUACUGUAAUCUUGUUCCCACUACUACAUUGUAAAGCAAAUCUUAAUCUUCUUCCCUCAACUCUUGGACCUUGUCUGCAACUACUCUCUUGCUUUCAUUCCAUGAUGUCCAUCAAUGCAUGAAGAUAAAAUAAGGGAAGACUUAAUAACCAGUAUUCAAACUUCUUGGAUAUUUCUUACAAAUUGAACUCUUUCUUUAAUAUAGAAUACAUCCUGUAAAUUUUCUCGUAUUUAAAUCAUCAAUCUAACUGGUAUGGACAAAAGUCAUGAAGUUGAUAAAGUUUACAAUUUAUCCUGGUUCUUACACAUUACUGAGGAAUUUGACUUUAUGGGAUAACCUAUAGGAUUGUUGUGUUUCUGGAACUUCUAAAUGUUUCAUCAAUUCCUCAUAGUGCAAUAGGAGUCAAAAAAAUUUAUAUGCUCCUCGAGCUCAAAUACUUGGGUAUAAAAAGCUCUGAAACUGUCAUUAGAAGUUGUGGCAAAAGCACCUCAAAUAGACUUCAAUUCAAGGAGUGUGAAGGGCUUUGACACGCUGCUUCAUAGUUUUUGUUUUAAGAAAUGAUUUGAUAUAUCCGAGGAUCAAGUCUGAAAAUAUAGUUUAGUUGCUUAAUUCUCAUGCUUUUAUGUUGAUUUAAUCAGUUUGAGUCUCUUUAUAAUGCAAAUUCUUGAUCAACAGCAUUGCAUGAGUGCAGCUCAGGAGGCAUAUGCCUUUCUGCAGAGUAUAUAGACAAAGUUGGAGAGCUAGUGAAGAAGUAUGGUCUGAAGCUUCACAUUGAUGGAGCUCGUAUAUUCAGUGCAUCAGUUGCACUUGGAGUGCCGGUUCAUAGGCUUGUACAGGCUGCUGAUUCAAUUUUGAUGCAGAAUUCAUUGAAAUCAAGAAAGUUCAUGGAAAGCUUGAAGAAAGGUCUUGCGAAAUGAAGUAGUUUGUGGGAUUAAAUUAUAUUAAAGAUCCAGUUGAUAAGGUGAGGUCUGUUAAGGCGAUUUCAUCAGCAAAGCUAUCAAUAGAGUUGGAAAUAACAGUCGAAAAUUUUCAUUUGUUCCAACGAAGUGGAAGGAGCUCACAGGAUAUUAGAAAGAUGCAAUGAUUAAUUACAUUGUGUUUUCGAGAUAAACACAUUUUUGUCAUAGCACAUUAUUUUGUCAUAAAUUGACUAUUUUUGUGACAAAACAUUGUUUUUUCCUAGAAUUGUCUUCUUAUAAAAAAUAUAGUUCAUUCUUUAUUUU